rnacentral:rRNA from 1 species
CCGUCCGAUGACUAGCUACUGAAUCUUUGGUGUGUCAUCAAAGAUAACGUAAAGGAAAAUAAUGAUAUUACUUUACUAUUAGUGUCGUCCAAAUACUCGUGCCAGAAGACUCGGUAAGGCGAGAGACGCAAACGUUAUUCGUCUUGAUCAGGCGUAAAGGGUGUGUAGGCUGCUUUAAGUAUUUAUCUCAAGUUUACUAUUUUAAAUUAUACAAAUUUUUUUUGCCUAGUACUUAAUUUACGGUUUCGGAAAAUUAAGUAUUAGCAUAUUUGUUGAAAUAUAAUAUUGAUAUAUUAAUCAAUUAAAGCUAGAAUCUAAAAGAGGUUAAAACAAUACUUAAGGUAGGAGUACUAACCGUAAAUAUUAAGUAGAGUGCUAACGGCGAAGGCAUUUACCCACUAAAGAUUGACGCUGAGAAACGAAAGUGAGGGCAGAAAAAAGGAUUAGAGACCCUUGUAUUCCUCACUGUCAACGAUGAAUGGUAGUUACUAGUUAGUAAUCAACUAAAGGCAAUGUUAACACGAAAACCAUUCCGCCUUGUGAGUACAACUGCAAAGUUGAAAACAAAAAAAUUAGUCGGUUUCGGAGCAAACGAAGUGAAGCAUGUUUUAG